AAGAUAACACCAAACAGACAUGAAAGGGUAUCCUUUAGCAUGAAAGUGGGAGAUGUUCUUAGUGUUUGCUUAAAUGAAAUGCCAAGAAUGGGGAGGGUGAAGAGGAAUCAACCAAUCCAGAAACUCUGAAAAUCCCAAUGCCCCCUCAAUCUUGCAUUAUGUCAGAGUGUGCUGUUUGCUCCUUUCCUGCUUUUCAGCAUUGGGGUUGAAGACCAUGGUUAAGGAGGACAAAGGACAGAAAUGGAACCAGGCUUGAUUGCUAGCAACUGUACCGUGGAUGGCUCACAAUCAUCCAUACCUCCAGUUCCAAGGAAUCAGAUAUCUUCUUCGGUCCUCUGCAGGCACCAGGCACACCCUUGGUGCACAAACAUACAUGACAGCUGAACAUUCUUUGGAGGCAACACUAUAAUAGUGAGCUUCCUAGGAGGAAGCCACCAACAGAGACGACUGCUGAACGAGAAGCCAGAUCCAGAAAUCAGGAAAAAAACAAGGUGCAAUGAGAAGACAACCACUCUGGAAGAGGGGAGUCACCAAGAGCCAGGCUACACUAGCCUCUUGGUCUCAGACGCCUCGUCCACAGAACUCUGAGAAUGAAGCCUAGUCCACGGAACUCUGAGAAUGAAGCCUAGUCCACGGAACUGUGAGAAUGAAGCCUAGUCCACAGAACUCUGAGAAUGAAGCCUAGUCCACAGAACUCUGAGAAUGAAGCCUAGUCCACAGAACUCUGAGAAUGAAGCCUAGUCCACAGAACUCUGAGAAUGAAGCCUAGUCCACAGAACUCUGAGAAUGAAGCCUCGUUCACGGAACUGUGAGAAUGAAGCCUCAUCCACGGAACUGUGAGAAUGAAGCCUCGUCCACGGAACUGUGAGAAUGAAGCCUCGUCCACAGAACUGUGAGAAUUAGGUAUCCGCUGUUUGUCACCCAGACUCUGGUUAGAUUUAGCUAUAAAUGCUUUCAGGUGUUAACUUCCUCAGACUAAUGAGGCCUUUUUGUUGUUCUUCCAACAAAGCUGCAUUUGGUGAGCUACGGCUAGGAAUGAGGCUCUGGAAAUCUCUUCCCCACAAUGAAACCCCUUGCUAUACAGCUCAGGAACCAGGCAGCAGCAACUAAAGUGAGUCCCAAUUCAAAAUUCCACAUGAAUGACCCUCACAUAGCUUGACAGAUUUUCAAAGUAAGUACUCGGUAAAAGCAAUUACUAAUGGAUAAUAUGAUUACAAAGAAUUUUUCUCUUUUUUUCUUUUUAUUUUGCAGUACAAAUCAGUUCUACAUAUCAGCCACGGACUCCCCUGUUCUCCCCCGUCUCGCCCCCUCACCUUCCCCCCAGCCCACCCCCCAUUCCCACCUCCUCCAGGGCAAAGCCUUCCCCGAGGACUGAGAUCAACCUGGUAGACUCAGUCCAGGUAGCUCUAGUCCCCUCCUCUCAGGCCGAGCCAAGCGAUCCUGCAUAGGCCCCAGGUUUCAAACAGCCAACUCAUGCAAUGAGCACAGGACCCGGUCCCACUGCCUGGAUGCCUCCCAAACAGAUCAAGCCAAUCAACUGUCUCACCCAUUCGGAGGGCCUGAUCCAGUUGGGGACCCCUCAGCCAUUGGUUCAUAGUUCAUGUGUUUCCAUUCGUUUGGCUAUUUGCCCCUGUGCUUUAUUCUUUUUUGCUUUUCUGUAUUUUCUCUUGUUUAUAAUGAGAAAAUUAGUUUUUUUUUUUAAAUAAGAAAAAUGAUGCUUCCUUAAAAUUAAAAGUCCAGGGAUGUAAAUUGUUUUAUAGCUCACCUUAAAAAUGACAUUUAAGUAUGCUUGGCAAACAUUUCGUAUAAACAUAGUUGUUUAUCUUCAAUUUGAGAAAUGAAUUCAUUAGGUGCUAUCAAACUGAGUGGUACCUAGCACUCCCUUUCUCUUCCUAUCCAGACUUGGCCUCAGAAAGGAAUGCCUUGGAACCAAUAAAGACAUCAGGGUGUAUCUGUUAGCUGAUUCUCCUAGAAUCCGUCAGCAAUUUGAUUUUAAAUGCAGGAGGAAGAUUAAUUAAAGGCGAUAGUCCUUAACGGUAACUUCUCAUUCUCCAGAUUCAGAACAUUCCUGGAAGAGGUGGUAUUGUAUACAGCUUGCUUUAAAAUUAUUUGAUUUCCUGUAUUAAGAUAGUUGGAUGAAAUAAAAACUAGAAGACUUUUAUAGGUAUCUGAUAAGAAAAAUAUCUAGAGCUUUUACAAAUCUCUACACAAAAUAAAAUUCUUAGUAUUAAAACAAUAUAUAAGCACCAAAAUGACAAAUUAUUUAGUUAAGAAAAGAAGGAAAAAUCUUAUUAAAAAAAAUCUUAGAGCAUACAAAGUUUAUCAUCAAGAAAAGCAAUUUAUUUUAUAAUACAAGGGUGGGGAUUCAAUAUAUUGUGACAAAUAUAGUAAUGUAUUAGCUUUAUAUAAUAUUUUAAUAUUCUACAAAUGCAUAUACCUAAUUAUACUACAAGAAAAAAUAGUAAAAUCAUAUUUGUUGAAAUUCUGGAUAUUCCAAUGAGAUAUAGUAAGUUUUUAAAUAUUUAUAUUCAUUUUAAUGAGUUUAUAAAAGCUAAAAUAAAUUACAAGUGUCCUUGACACUUAAGACAAAAAAAAAUACAAACAUGUAACAAUAUGCCCUAUAAAAGAAGUAAUUUUGUGAUGUUAAAAUUAACAUGUAAUACUUUAUUAUUUUAUGUGGAUUUUUAACUGGGAAAACUGAACAGAAGACAAAGCAUUACCAAUUAUUUGUUCUCUGAAUACAGAACUGAAGCUGGAGAUCAAACAUUACAAACAGGUGGUGAUGACCAUGAUGUCCAAACCAUGAGGCCUUAAUCAGAUGGGCAAAGAAUAUGACAGACAGAGUUGCAAGGGAAAUGGCCCUUUUCUGGAAUGUACCUUUACUCUUCUAUUAACUAAUUAACUAACUUCCUGAAGUACCAAUCCUUAAUUAGAAAGGGGCAGAUACCACCUACCUACUUUGAAAGGUUGUUGAAAUGAUGAAUGCAUUGGAAACAUCUAAAAUAUACUGUGUGUGGUAACUUUCAUUUUUAAUACCAGCAUUUAAGAGACGAAGACAGGAGGAAACAAAUAAACUGACGACAACUAUGAAUUCAUUACAGGUAUUUUCUAGGGGAAAAAAAGUACCCAGUUUCACUAAUAAAACAUGUACCUUUAUGUAAAUCAAGGUUUACCUGAGACAAAUUAUUAAAAUACUUCUUAAUAUUAGACUUCAAUCAUUGGAGCUAAAAUAUCAUGAAAGCAAAUUUUUAAGUCAAAGGGAAUAUAAUCCUUAAGGAGCUAUGAGGAGGUUUGCUUCUGCAUAUUUGUUGUUAGUACAAUAAAGUUAGAUGACAGGAAUCCAAGCAUCGGGGCUCUGAAAGCAUAAUGGAUUCCCACAGAUGACUUUAGCAUAAGGCAAUGGAUGCAAAAUGGAUGCCCCCUGAGUGGAGGUGACAUUCGAUUAUUUCCUUAGCUAUUCAUUGUGACAAAGGAGCUGAGGCUACACAGUUGCCUCUGCCUUUUCAGUAUAAUAAUGGUUCUAAGCAAAAAAUUAAAACUCUUCAAUCCAAGGACCAUGCAACUAGAAAUAUUAGGAAGUAUUAAUCACUUCACACAUUCCACAGAUAUUUUUCUUGCACACAAAUAUUUGUAUAAGUAGCUUCCCAGCAACCAUGAGAUCAUGUAUUAAAUAGAUAAGUAGCAGGGUGUGGUAACUUGCAUUUAUAAUACCAGCAUUUAAGAGACGAAGACAGGAGGAAUUUCUUGAGUUUGGAUUGAGCCUGGGUUAUAUGGUGAGUUCAAAACUAGCUUGGGCUAGGAGAGGGAAGGCAGAUAAACACUAAGGAUAUUUGAAAAAGCCAUAAAUAAUCAUGUUAAUUUAUAUUUACCUAAAAUUACAUAUAAUGUGUAUAAGCGUUUAUGUAUACAUAUGUAUAUAGUUUAAAGAAAGCUAUGCCUCUUGGGGGUGAUAAUGCUUUCCCCAAUAGCCAUAGAUUAUCUUACAAAAACCAUACUAUUAGGCAAGAGAAAUUUUCUUUCAAAUUGUUGGUGGGGGAGUCCAAGAGAAUCCCAAACAAUAUGGGCUAUUGUGUGUUUUCCUUGAUUGCCUCCUAGAAAUUGAAGUUAAGUCACUAUUACUGAAGACACCAUGCACACUGGACAAAGGACUUAGAAAAAUAUAGCUGGAUUUCACCUAAAAGUCUAAAAGUCCCCAGCCUGAGGACUAGUUUCUAGCACGGGAGGGUGUUAUGCAAGCUGCUAAGGGAGAGAAGCAAUCAGUAGUCCCAGCUGGCUGUAAUACAUGUGAACCACAACAAUGUCCAGAACUGAAAGACACGCCUAAAACUGCAAUGAUACGUGUAUCUUGAUGAUAAUUGUGGUGGUUUGAAAGAAAGAAAAAGGCCCCCAAAGGGAAUGGCACUCUUAGGAGGUGUAGCCUUAAUGGAGUAGGUACGGUCUUGUUGAAGGAAAUGUGUCACUGUGGAGACAGGCUUUGAGGUCUCACACACUGCCCAAUAUGACACACACUUCCUGUUGUCUGCCUAUCAAGAUGUUGGACUCUCAGCUGCAGCAUCAUGUCUGCCUGCACACCACCAUGUCACACCAUGAUGGUAAUGAACUAAACAUCUGAAAAUGGUUCCUAACAGGAGGGAAAUCAUGCCUGGUACUGGAAACCUGUCCCACCACUGGUGGCUGGUGAGGUUACAUGUCUAGAGGAAAACCUUACCACUCCAACUUUACGAAAAGAGCAACACAUUCCUGGCUGUCUGACAGCAAACAGCAGAAUCUUCUAGUAUCUACAAAAAGAGAGAUAAGGACUGAAGUCAAUUAUGAGGCGUGCUGAGAAAGUGCUUUAGAAGUUAAGAGGGCCUGAAAGUGUUUGAGUGAAGAGAGCACAAGGGAACAGUCACUAAACAGAUUCAUCACCCUACAUUUGAGAAUCUGAGAGGAAUUCCACACCCUUUCUUAAGAAAGACUCUGAGAGGUAAAGUUAAAUCACCCUUUGUUUCAAAACACAAUGCCGGGAAGUUAAAUGAAUACCUUGAAUUUUACCAUGACUAGACAAAGCCUACAUUUGACAUCUGUACUUUUCAGACAAAAGCUGGGAAUGACCCUUCCACUUAUAUCAAUCAGAUGAAAACUUUUACUCUUCAUGGAGGCCAGAGGAGAAGGGAAAUACAUUUAGCUCAUUUGAAGAAGUAAAUAAUUUUACUGGCUUGGGUCCUUUGCUUUUCUCAAACUAUUCCAUGAAAAUAGAGAACAUAUUUUAAAAAUUACAAAAUGAUAGCCUUAUGGAACCAAUAGACCAAGUUUUAAAUCCCAACUGCACAAUUUACUAGCUCUUAACUUGAAACAAAAGGAGUAACAAUAAUAGUAGCAGUAAAUUCUUGGAAUUUUUAAAAAAUGUUUAAGUAAAUGACUAUAUCAAGAAAUAAAAACCAUGUCUUUGUACAUGUGCUGAAAUGCAAAGUUUGCUAUAAUAUGUUUUGGUCAGCACAGAGGUAAGGUAAAAUCUUCUCAUGCAUAUUUUAUUUUGAAAUUUUCAACUUAGAAAAAAAAACUGUAUUGAAUAUAUAACCUACCUCUGGUUUGCAUCAUUAUUAAAGCAUCUGGUCCUGCUCUUGACCAGUCAUAAGGAAGUGCUUUGUACCAAGCAAUUGUUAAGAUGUGGAAUGAAAAACCCUGCAACUUUGUAACAAUAACAACAGCAAAAAUGCUUAGUAAAAGAAAAAAUACUGAAGAACCUGUUUCCAUUAGCAAGAUGAGAAACCUACUAUUCCUGGAAGUCCACCCUUUAAUAUCAGACUUCUGGGGAGUUUGGAUGGACCCAUACAGGCAUGUGCUAGGCUUGGGUGACUUCUAAUGUGUCCCUUUUCUAGUUCUGCCCUUGGUGUCACUUAACUCAGCUUCCGGGGGAACAUUUUCAUCUGGAAAACUGACAAAUGUGUCCUCUCCUCCCAUUUCAGCAUUUCUCAGAGACUGAUUGACAAGUAUCACAUCCAUUGUAUUUAUAUUAAAUGCUCCACAAAAUGUCACUAAAUGAGAUGUCAUCAAACUGAGUGAACAUUUAUCUUGCAAAAUCUAAUGUCUUUCUCUCCUUAGUAUAAGGAUAUUUAUGAUAUUGGUCUGCAAGUUUUAAAACUUUCUAGUUUUUGAAGAAAUAUUUGGGAAAUUUCUUUCUGAUAGACCAAGAAGAUACAUGCUCUAGCAUGUAUUAUUUGUCUUUUGGGAAAUGGGCCUUCAUUUUUGAAGUUAUAAAAACCAGAGGUCAUUUAUAAUCCACUAAAAAUAAAUAUAGAACUUGAUAUAUGUUCUGCUUAAGAAUUUUCACACAAUUUUACCUUAUUGCUCUGAUUUUUCUGUAGCUCAAAUUCCUGUCAUUUUAAGAACCUUAGCUUUGUAUUUGUUCAUAUUUUAGGAUUUAUAUAUACAUAUAUUACUAAACUUUUAUCCUAAUUUAAAUGAUAUUAAUCUGCUAAAACUAUACUCUGUCCAAUUCUAUUUCUUGAUCACAUACAAAUGUUUAAUUACUUAGGCAUAACUUUAAAUAAAGUUUUAAAUCAGUUGAAGUUUACUCAGAAGGUUUCAGUCAGCCAAACUCAGUUAAAAGGUACAUAAGAAACUGCAGGAAUCCUUCUUCUGAUCUUAAGUUUUCAAUGUUGGUUUCAACUAGGCACCAUGUUCCUAAAAAUAGUUAAGUAAUUAAUCCAAACUAUUUUUCAAGAAAGCAAAACAUGUACUUACGGGAAAAAGAAAAAGGACCAUUUUACAGAAGGAGCCAUGUGAUGCUAUUUGUUAUUUUCUAAAAUGAGCAUCAAAAUGAAAUAAAUCAUAUAAUCUAC